GGGGAUUUAGCUCAGUGGUAGAGCGCUUGCCUAGCAAGUGCAGCAAGGCCCUGGGUUCGGUCCCCAGCUCCG
rnacentral:tRNA from 1 species